GACGAACGCUGGCGGCGUGCUUAACACAUGCAAGUCGAGCGGUAAGGCCCUUUCGGGGGUACGACGAGCGGCGAACGGGUGAGUAACACGUGGGUGACCUGCCUUUAGCUCUGGGAUAAGCCUGGGAAACUGGGUCUAAUACCGGAUAUGACUCCAUGAUGCAUGUUGGUGGGGUGGAAAGCCUUGUGCGGCUGGAGAUGGGCCCGCGGCCUAUCAGCUUGUUGGUGGGGUGANGGCCUACCAAAGGCGACGACGGGUAGCCGGCCUGAGAGGGCGACCGGCCACACUGGGACUGAGACACGGCCCAGACUCCUACGGGAGGCAGCAGUGGGGAAUCUUGCGCAAUGGGCGAAAGCCUGACGCAGCGACACCGCGUGAGGGAUGACGGCCUCGG
rnacentral:rRNA from 1 species